rnacentral:rRNA from 1 species
UACGAAGGGGGCGAGCGUUGUUCGGAUUUACUGGGCGUAAAGGGCGCGCAGGCGGCUCAUCUUGUCAGGCGUGAAAGCCCCGGGCUUAACCUGGGAGGUGCGUUUUGAUACGGAUGGGCUAGAGUUCGGGAGAGGAGCGUGGAAUUCCCAGUGUAGAGGUGAAAUUCGUAGAUAUUGGGAAGAACACCCGGUGGCGAAGGCGGCGCUCUGGACCGAGACUGACGCUGAGGCGCGAAAGCGUGGG